AUACAAAUCACCGAGGGAUCUUGUUAAAAUGCAGAAACUGAUCCUGUAUGUCUGGAGGAGAACUAAGACUCUGCAUUUCUAAUAAGCUCCCAGCUGAUGCAGAG
rnacentral:pre_miRNA from 1 species